UUUAUUUUGAAGGUAUUUUAUGCAGUUUCCUCUUCCUUCUUCACGUUCUAGACCCGAUUUGCAUAAUGGCGGAGAAGCAGUCACUGACGAUAAACUGCUCUGUUCUGUAACAGAAUGCAUGGGUGUAACCCCAGUUCUUCAAAAAACCUUCAUAAAUCGACUGAUGACAACAAUGAAAGAAAAAGGAUUUUGAGAUAUUCAGCAACUUCCUGGACUCCUCAAGAAGCUGUCAGCAGAGUGUUCCAGCCGGGUCAUUAUUUGCUUUGGGCAGCGCUCUCACUUCCUCCGAUGAGUUGCUGGCAUCCUUAAAACGACUGGCGCGAUACCUGGUGUACGGCAGCUUUUCUCCUCACGGAGCUGCUGCGUGGUGGCCGGUUCAGAGCAAACGGCAUGGAGGAGUCCUGCAGGUGUAUUUAUACAGGUGAGUUGAUAGAUUGAACACUGAGGUCGGCUGCACUGUAGUUGAUGCUUAACGUAAGUGUAGCUUUAUGGACAAACUGGAAAAUAAGUUUCAUAUUAUCCUGGUCUCAGCCAAUGAGUGGCAGAGUGCAUCGUGGUUCAUAGCUGGUAGAUGUGUUUCUGUGUGGCGAAUUAAGGCGUCGAAUCCGCUCGUUUACAUGGACAUAAAAGCUAUAAAUUGCUGGGCGAAGUGAGAGUUCAUCUAUUAUAUUGACUGAAGAUGAAUAUGUGA